ACGGAGGGUGCAAGCGUUAUCCGGAAUCACUGGGUUUAAAGGGUGCGUAGGCGGUCAGAUAAGUCAGUUGUGAAAUACCCCGGCUUAACCGGAGGAACUGCGAUUGAUACUGUUUGACUUGAAUCAGGUUGAGGUAGGCGGAAUGUGGCAUGUAGCGGUGAAAUGCUUAGAUAUGCCAUAGAACACCGAUUGCGAAGGCAGCUUGCUGGACCUUGAUUGACGCUGAGGCACGAAAGCGUGGGGAGCAAACAGGA
rnacentral:rRNA from 1 species